UGGGGAAUAUUGCACAAUGGGCGAAAGCCUGAUGCAGCAACGCCGCGUGAGUGAUGAAGGCCUUCGGGUUGUAAAGCUCUGUCUUUUGGGACGAUAAUGACGGUACCAAAGGAGGAAGCCACGGCUAACUACGUGCCAGCAGCCGCGGUAAUACGUAGGUGGCAAGCGUUGUCCGGAUUUACUGGGCGUAAAGGAUGCGUAGGCGGAUUUUUAAGUGAGAUGUGAAAUACCCGGGCUUAACUUGGGUGCUGCAUUUCAAACUGGGAAUCUAGAGUGCGGGAGAGGAGAAUGGAAUUCCUAGUGUAGCGGUGAAAUGCGUAGAGAUUAGGAAGAACACCAGUGGCGAAGGCGAUUCUCUGGACCGUAACUGACGCUGAGGCAUGAAAGCGUGGGUAGCAAACAGGAUUAGAUACCCUGGUAGUCCACGCCGUAAACGAUGAGUACUAGGUGUAGGAGGUAUCGACCCCUUCUGUGCCGCAGUUAACACAAUAAGUACUCCGCCUGGGAAGUACGAUCGCAAGAUUAAAACUCAAAGGAAUUGACGGGGUCAUAGCUGUUUUUCC
rnacentral:rRNA from 1 species